GUAGACCAGACCCAACGGUUCUUGCAUUGGUGUCUAUGGGAGACACACGCAGUUAAGUGGACCAGAACUGACCUUUUUGUUAUGGAUGUGAAUUGGCUGGACCAAGAGUUCUUCCCACACCUGUCUGAGCUCUCUGACCUCACCUUCCUUUCCCCACUGGGAGACAACCCCGGGACUGGGAAGAAUGCCGUUCCAAGUCUGCCACCUUCAACGCCCCUCGGUAACACAUCCCUGACCCCAUGGAACAUAUCUCCACCCAUCAUCAUGGCAAACCCAAGGACAAGAGAAGGAAGGCAACAAUUCCUCUGGAUUCUAUUGGAAGCACCCUUACAUCCAACCAGCAGAGCAGACAGGAUGAACCAGAAGACUACUGGGAAUAUGACUGAAUUAUCUCCACUCAUCCAAUGCUGACUUUACGGUUCAAAUCAGAAUUCAUUGUGAAUGUUAGUUGGUUGUUUUGUAAAGAUGAAUUCCCACAAAGAGUUUUGAAAGCAUGUUAAUAUUUAUUUAUAUUUAAGAUAUUUAACCUGCUUAGAUGUUAGGGACUGAACACCCUCUAGUGGUUGUGUAUGUACAACGACAAACAUCCUGUGUGCCUAACAUCAAUAAAAUGCAUUCCUUAUAUUUACCGAAGUCACAUAUAUUGGGGAAAAACAAGAGAACAGGUGAUCCCCAAAAAAGAUUUUAUUUUUCAAGCUACAGUUAAAGAAAAACAAUACCAGAGGCCGAAAAUAUAACAUCUGCUAGGCUUUCUUUUCCUCUCUUUUCACUUUCAAAUAUGUACAGUUAUCGAAGAACAGGGUAUAUACAGAGAAUCGAAGGGAAGGGUGGUGGAGAGAGUGCAUUUGCUUUUUGGGGACUAAACAUGACUCUCCCACCAACAAAAAGCAAGGUAAAACCAACCAACAUAAAAGGACCUGCCACAACUCUGGUGAUAUCAACUUACUUUUCUGUACAAUACAAACAGUCUACUUUGUUUCACGAAUGAGAAUUAUGAGGGUGAGGGAUUUGUAUGUUCUCUGAUUUGGAAACAAAUCUCAACUAGCGUUUUCUGAGCAUUUAAACAAAAAAAAUGAUAACAUGAAAGAAAUACAAAAUAUAUAUUUUACAACCAUUCAUGCAAAAAGAUGUUCAAGCCACUUCUACAAGGUGAAGUGGCUCCAACUUUUUCCGUCACGACAGUUUACAACAAUCACAUCAAUCUCCCAAACCAGAAGUCUCUAAUGAAAAGCAAAACGCACAAAUGUGAAUAAAAACAACAAAAAAAGCACAGAACAAGCAUUGGAGGAUUUUGAAGUCUGUCGCCAAGUCAAACCGCAACCAAAGGGUAGUCAUGGUAUUCCAUUGUCAUGCAGAGAGAACUCAAAGUAAUCAAGUGGUGAUGUAGCAGAUGUUGACCCACUCCUCAAAGCUCAUACUGCACCAGUUGACAAAGAAAAUAUAUUUAAAAAUAUAUAUAUUUACUGGUUAUGGGCUGGAUCUAAAAACUUUACAGCACAGCCCUUAGUUUAAAAGUUAGUGUAUUAGCAAUUGCCAAAAGCAAUUAACUUUCAAAUGAAAUAACCACAAAAAAAAGGGGUGUUUGGUUUGGGCUUGACUUUUAGUGCACUGUUGUAGCACAAGUUUGUGCAUAUUUCUAUGGAAUAGAUUGAACAUUUCAAAUUUGAUAUGGUAUUGUUUCAAUCAGAAAACCUCUGAUGAGAGAAAUCCUAGAGGGGCUUAACACUGUGGCAAGCGGUACUGAGUGUAAUAGACAGAAACUAAUAAAAAAAUGCCAAAAUUGAAAGCUUACAUAAGAAAAAAGUAGCAAAAAAACAACAUGAGAGACACUUUCUAGACCUAAAAGGAUUUUUGUUGUUGUGCCUCUGCCAUGGUGUGGCAGUCGCAUUGAACACUGGUUACAGAGGGUCUGACAAAAGUGGAUGUACCAUUAUAAAAUACUAGCUUUUUCCUUUGAACGUUGACAGAAAAGCAGCCCAUCAAAUGUCCCAAAUAAAUAAUUAUCUAUACCUUGUGAUGCACCUUAUGCUAUGACCUUAAUGUAAAAGCCAGGAAAUGGAUCGCUGUACGGUUGCCUUAGCAUUUCAAUGAAGAAAAAAAAGGAAGCCAGUCUCAAUUUAGUAAGACUACUGAGCAAAAGUGUGUCUAUUUGUAUGUUACAGAUAAUAAAAAGAUCUCCUUCCAAUGUCUUCCUGUUUUAGUACAGUUUUCACAGAGGCAGAACGUGACAAAGAACCUACAUGAAUAAGUGGGGAUG